UUAAGAGCAUUCGGUGGAUGCCUUGGCGCUGAGAGGCGAUGAAGGACGUGAUACGCUGCGAUAAGCCGUGGGGAGCUGCGAAUGAGCUUUGAUCCGCGGAUUUCCGAAUGGGGAAACCCACC
rnacentral:rRNA from 15 species